rnacentral:tRNA from 1 species
AUAGACUUAAGUUAAGUUAAACUAUUAAUUUUCAAAAUUAAAAAUAAUUUUUCUAUA